GACGAACGCUGGCGGCGUGCUUAACACAUGCAAGUCGAACGGAAAGGCCCUGCUUUUGUGGGGUGCUCGAGUGGCGAACGGGUGAGUAACACGUGAGUAACCUGCCCUUGACUUUGGGAUAACUUCAGGAAACUGGGGCUAAUACCGGAUAGGAGCUCCUGCUGCAUGGUGGGGGUUGGAAAGUUUCGGCGGGUGGGGAUGGACUCGCGGCUUAUCAGCUUGUUGGUGGGGUAGUGGCUUACCAAGGCUUUGACGGGUAGCCGGCCUGGGAGGGUGACCGGCCACAUUGGGACUGAGAUACGGCCCAGACUCCUACGGGAGGCAGCAGUGGGGAAUAUUGCACAAUGGGCGGAAGCCUGAUGCAGCAACGCCGCGUGCGGGAUGACGGCCUUCGGGUUGUAAACCGCUUUCGCCUGUGACGAAGCGUGAGUGACGGUAAUGGGUAAAGAAGCACCGGCUAACUACGUG
rnacentral:rRNA from 1 species